AUGGCGUUCAAAAUCAUCCUAAGUAUCGUACACAAGGAUGGCGAAAUACUCAACCCUAUAGUUAUUCAAUUCGUCGUCGCCCUCACUACAGCGCUCAUGGUGACCCGAUUUGUGCUGGAUGCUUUGCGGCAUCGGUCAACAGGCAAGGCCAUGAGAAUGACUCUGAUCGUUAUGGACGCAGUAACCCAAGCAUUGACCAUAUACAGUCUUGGGAUCAUGCAACGCCCCUCCGAUAAGGACUACUACUACAAGGUGUGGGCUGUGCUGUUGGUCACCCUCCGUUACAGCGUCAAGAUAGGCCGCCCGGCCGGCAUCGCCCUGAAGCAAACCCCGUUGGUAGACCUCAUGUCCUCCUUCUGGUCUGCCAACAUCCUUCGCUCCAAGGCACCCAGGAUUCUCAAGGUAACUGGUUGGCUGCUUUGGUCAGUCAACUCUUUACGCAUCAUCUAUGGUUUUAUCUCCUCUGAAUUUGCCAACGAUAGCCACAGAGAGGAUUUGAGACUAUUAACAGAGUACAUGCGUCAUGAGCACGAAGCUGGUGGUGGGGGUGAUGGUGACCCUGUCACAAUGAAGGGGUACCGGUACUUGGUGCGGGGCGAAGCCAAGAAACGGAAGAUGAAGAAGAACGAAACCGGCGGACAAGCAAGAGAUACUGGUAUGGUGGAGGAAACUGGGAAUAUCAGGAGGCUCUUGCUGGCGUUGAGAGAGGAGCACAAGGAGAUCCUGACGCUUGAGAAGAUCUGGGAGGAGCCGGCCGAUCCGGCUGACGCCCUUGACGAGGAGCUCAAGGACCUUUGCCUCUCCUUUGCACUCUACAAGCUUCUUCGCAGGCGCUUCUUCAACUUCGGCAUCCAUGAGGCCAAGCUGAAAAGGACAAGACGGCUGGUUCUUGAUGGGAUCCUCGGUGAGCCCUGCAACUCCGAAAGGGCGUUCCGUGUCAGCGAGGCCGAGUUGUCUUUCCUCAAUGACUUCUUCAACAGCAGGCAUGCCAUAGUAUUUGCGAAAGGCUUCCCAUUCAUCCGGCUCCUGCUAUCCACCAUUCUGAUAGGAGGGAUUGGAGGCAUGGCGGUUGCUAUCUAUAGCUUUUCCAAGGUUGGCACAAGAGACGAGCUCGGCAAUGUUCAUGGUGGAGUAACUUUUACAUGGUUUCUCCUGUCGUUUCUUUUUGUAAAAGAGACAUGGGAGAUCACAACUUACGUGUUCUCAGACUGGACCAAGAUAAUUUUGUUGUGCCAGUACGUGCAGAAGCCAUGGUGGCUGCGAAGCCCGAUGACCAAGGAUCUUGUGCGGAAGCUCUGUAGGCUCUCUGUGCCCUGGUUGCCAAGAUGGCAUGGAAAGGAAGUGAAGCAUACUGUGAUCAACUGUCUCAGAGACUGCUUAGCCGAGGAUCCCCCGCGGUUGGACAACUACCUUGAGCGAGCAUUUGGCAAAGUCGGGGUAACCGACGGUUUUCGCGCAAAUUUCACCGAAGUGGUAAAUGGCGUGAAGGAUUCUGUGCACAUUCUGCUGAUUUGGCACAUUGCUACAUGCUACUGCGAGAUUGAUCUCGCUGAAAACAGAAAGGUCUCAGCCAGUAUGUAUUGGAGUGGGCAAGACUUUGGCCGGCGCAAACCUUCGGAAGGUGAUUCAGAUCUUCUGUGGUCUCAGUACAUGAUUGCUAGGACAUUGUCGCAGUACUGUGCGUAUGUGCUCACACUGGUUCCUCCUCUGGUGCCUGGGAACAGCCUAAUGGCCAGGUCGGUGCUGAUAAAGGUGCGUGAAGAAAAAAGUCGCCUUUUCAACGGAAAAUUUAACUCAUGUGCUCCUUGUUAUCAGUCCACCCAAAUGCUUGGACGGCUCAAGAAAUAUGCAUCAGAGGAGAUAGAAUUGUAUAAGAAAAAAGUGGACGGGGGAAAACAGGACGAGGAAAACCAGGAUGGGAAAAAAGAGGAAAAUCUAGACGACACCAUAUUGAAGAAGGGGGCAGAUCUUGGCAAGAAGAUGGCAGAAGCGUUCAGCGGUGACAAGCCGGAAGAUCUGUGGAGGUUCUUGUCAGAGUUCUGGGCAGGAUUUGUUAUCCACCUGGCUGCAUCUACAAGGGCUUCUCAGCACAAGAUAUUUCUGAGCUCUGGCGGGGAGUUCAUAACACAUCUCUGGGCGUUGCUAACCCAUGCCGGCAUCCUAGGGGACGCCCAGCACGGCGACCAAGAUUUCGAUACAGCACUAACGCAAGAAGACGUUUACGAUCAGACUGUGCAGUCUUAG
rnacentral:rRNA from 1 species